CAGCAGCCGCGGGAAUACGAGGGGGGCAAGCGUUGUUCGGAAUUAUUGGGCGUAAAGGGUGCGUAGGCGGCUUGACAAGUCUUGUGUGAAAUCUAUGGGCUCAACCCAUAGUCUGCACGGGAAACUGUCGGGCUUGAGAAUGGGAGAGGUGAGUGGAAUUUCCGGUGUAGCGGUGAAAUGCGUGGAUAUCGGAAGGAACACCGGUGGCGAAGGCGGCAACCUGGUCCUUGACUGACGCUGAGGCGCGAAAGCGUGGGGAGCAAACAGGAUUAGAUACCCCCGUAGUCCCUGUCUCUUAUAC
rnacentral:rRNA from 1 species